CAGCAGCCGCGGUAAAACGAAGGGUGCAAGCGUUAAUCGGAAUUACUGGGCGUAAAGCGUGCGUAGGCGGUUUGUUAAGUCUGCUGUGAAAUCCCCGGGCUCAACCUGGGAAUGGCAGUGGAUACUGGCAAGCUAGAGUGUGUCAGAGGAUGGUGGAAUUCCCGGUGUAGCGGUGAAAUGCGUAGAGAUCGGGAGGAACAUCAGUGGCGAAGGCGGCCAUCUGGGACAACACUGACGCUGAGGCACGAAAGCGUGGGGAGCAAACAGGAUUAGAUACCCGGUAGUCCCUGUCUCUUAUACC
rnacentral:rRNA from 1 species